GUGGUCGUCGCUUUUAUUGGGCCUAAAACGUCCGUAGCCUGUUUGGUAAAUCUGUGGGUAAAUCAACCAGCUUAACUGGUUGAAUUCUGCAGAGACUGCCAGACUAGGGACCGGGAGAGGUGUGGGGUACUCUCGGGGUAGGGGUAAAAUCCUGUCAUCCUGGGAGGACCACCAGUUGCGAAGGCGCCACACUGGAACGGAUCCGACGGUCAGGGACGAAGCCUAGGGGCACGAACCGGAUUAGAUACCCGGGUAGUCCUAGGAGUAAACGCUGUGAACUUGGUGUCGGGGAUCCUACUUGGGUUCCCGGUGACGGAGUGAAGAUGUUAAGUUCACUGCCUGGGGAGUACGGUCGCAAGGCUGAAACUUAAAGGAAUUGGCGGGGGAGCACUGCAACGGGAGGAGCGUGCGGUUUAAUUGGAUUCAACGCC
rnacentral:rRNA from 1 species